GGGGGCUUAGCUCAGUUGGUUAGAGCGCUACCUUGACAUGGUAGAGGUCGUGGGUUCGAAUCCCGCAGCUCCCACCA
rnacentral:tRNA from 2 species